rnacentral:misc_RNA from 1 species
CAUUUUCGAUUUUUUUUCGUCACGGUUAAUUUGGCGAUGCGCUUUCGCGUCGAGACGAGCUAUAUGACGGGGCCCGGGGUGUCGGGCUCGGGAAAUUGCGUUAAUUGAGAAGAUUGGAAACUCUAGACUUUUCUCGAGAAGAGAAAUCGAGUCGCUUCAAGUAAAU